UACGUAGGGUGCGAGCGUUAAUCGGAAUUACUGGGCGUAAAGCGUGCGCAGGCGGUUUUGUAAGCCAGAUGUGAAAUCCCCGGGCUUAACCUGGGAAUGGCAUUUGGGACUGCAAGGCUAGAGUAUGGCAGAGGAGACUAGAAUUUCUGGUGUAGCAGUGAAAUGCGUAGAUAUCAGAAGGAAUACCGAUGGCGAAGGCAGGUCUCUGGGUCAAUACUGACGCUCAUGCACGAAAGCGUGGGGAGCAAACAGG
rnacentral:rRNA from 1 species